rnacentral:rRNA from 1 species
CGCGAAUGGCUCAUUACAACAGCUAUAAUUUACUUGAUCUUGACUUCCUACUUGGAUAACUGUGGUAAUUCUAGAGCUAAUACAUGCACCAAAGCUCCGACCUUACGGGAAGAGCGCAUUUAUUCGAACAAAACCAAGCGGCUUCGGCCGUCCGCAGUUGACUCAGAAUAACUAAGCUGAUCGCAUGGUCUUGAACCGGCGACGUGUCUUUCAAGUAUCUGCCUUAUCAACUUUCGAUGGUAGUGUAUCUGACUACCAUGGUGGUGACGGGUAACGGAGGAUAAGGGUUCGACUCCGGAGAAGGGGCCUGAGAAAUGGCCACUACGUCUAAGGAUGGCAGCAGGCGCGCAAAUUACCCACUCUCAGAAUGAGGAGGUAGUGACGAGAAAUAACGAGACCGUUCUCUACGAGGCCGGUCAUCGGAAUGGGUACAAUUUAAACCCUUUAACGAGUAUCUAUGAGAGGGCAAGUCUGGUGCCAGCAGCCGCGGUAAUUCCAGCU